rnacentral:rRNA from 1 species
GACGAACGCUGGCGGCGUGCUUAACACAUGCAAGUCGAACGGAAAGGCCCUGCUUUUGUGGGGUGCUCGAGUGGCGAACGGGUGAGUAACACGCGAGUAACCUGCCCUUGACUUUGGGAUAACUUCAGGAAACUGGGGCUAUUAUCGGAUAGGAGCUCCUGCUGCAUGGUGGGGGUUGGAAAGUUUCGGCGGUUGGGGAUGGACUCGCAGCUUAUCAGCUUGUUGGUGGGGUAGUGGCUUACCAAGGCUUUGACGGGUAGCCGGCCUGAGAGGGUGACCGGCGACAUUGGGACUGAGAUACGGCCCAGACUCCUACGGGAGGCAGCAGUGGGGAAUAUUGCACAAUGGGCGGAAGCCUGAUGCAGCAACGCCGCGUGCGGGAUGACGGCCUUCGGGUUGUAAACCGCUUUCGCCUGUGACGAAGCGUGAGUGACGGUAAUGGGUAAAGAAGCACCGGCUAACUACGUG